UUAAUGGGAGAAUAAUUAUCAGGAAAUUUGGUGGAUUAUGAGUUGUUUUUGUGAGUUUAACUUUGUUGCAUUGGGCGAUUUUUAAAAUAAUAGCAUUUGGAAUAAGAACAUUUGAGUUCCUGAAUGAGAAAAAAAAUGUAGAAGAGGGUUGAUUUGGCUCUCCCAAUAAUAAACGCCACCAAAAGAAGAGAGAGAAUGGAUGUAUUGGGGUUAGUUACCAGUGUUUGUGGUAAGAUUCUGCUUCAUUAACCAUUUAAGCUUAACACAAACAAUAAUGACAAUGGUUUCCCCCCUAAAUGUUCAUAUAAGAAAUGUUCAUAUAAGAAAUGGUUGUGUUUGCUAUUUGCUGCUAGUAUGCUGCCAUUUGCUAUUUGUCUUUCUAAUUUAUCAUAUUAACUUCCCUCCAUAGUCUGCUAAUAUUUGUUAUUUACCUAAUCAAUCUUAAUUUAUUGAUUGCUUAAUUUAGAUACCAAUCAUUCUUAGUUUUUAUGAUUGUGGUUGUUUGCAUUUGUUGUCUAUAAAAAAGGAAGACAUUUUAAUUAUUUAAAAUAUUUCUUUUAUUAAUGAUAGAAGAUGACCUCAAACAAUAAGAGGGACAAUGAGGAAGGUGAGACUUCGGUGAAAGACUUGGGUCGGGCUAGUUGGUCUAAGGAAACUUUACUCAUAUUCUGUGAUUUGUGUAUCCAAUAUGCCGAAAGGAGUAAGGGGAAACGAGGUGCAACAAUUUCACAGAGAAUGCCAUGGAAAGUGCUUGAAGUGGAGUUUAGUAAAAAAAAACUAAUUUAGCAUAUGACAAGAACAAACUGAAAAACAAGUGGGAUUGGAUGAGAAAUCGUUGGAGCCUUUGGAGAGCACUUAAAGGGAAAGAAACUGGGUUAGGUUGGGAUCAUUAAAAGGGUACAAUAAGUGCUAGUGAAGAGUGGUGGCAGAAAAAAAUUGAGGAAAAUGUGCAUUUUAGAGCUUUUCAAUGUGAAGGUAUUGAGCCCGAACUUGAGUACAAGAUGGAACAACUCUUUGGAAGUUCGGUUGCUCAAGGGGGGCUAAAGUUUACUCAUGUUCAACGCCCAAAAGAAUUAGUUUAUAUCCCUUAAAUGACACAUAUCCAUUCUUCACCCCUUGAUGCUACCAAUGUCGGUAAUGUAAUGGUUGACAACGAAGAUGUAAUGAGUGACAAUGGUGAUUUAAAUCAUAACGAAACUAACAUGGAAUGGCAGGAAGUUUGGAAUGAUUCAACUCCACUUCCUUCCCCUUCUCCACAAUCAAUUGAACACGUAGUUAAAGGAAGUAAAAGAUGUUUUGAGAAUGAUGUUGCAGAGAGUUCAAAGAGGUUUCGGACUGAAUCUGGUAGUCAAAAGGGAGUGGCUGGACUCCUAAUGGAAAAAUUGGAUGCAAUAUGGUGAAAGUUGUGACUGAGAGGAACACUAAGGAGAUGGAAUUGAUGAGUGUUGAAGCACAAACGCUUGCUGAAUCCUCUCAUACACUUGCUGGUUCAUUGGCAAAACUAGUGUCUAUGCCUGAUCUCAAACCAGGAAGUCCAGAAUUCUUUUUUGCUUGCACUAUGAUCGAAGACCCCCAAAAGAGGAUACUACUCAAUGGCAUGCCUGAUGAUAACUUAAGGCUUCAGUGGAUAAAAUAUUUGUAUGAAAAGGAUAAGUGAAAAAUGUAUCGACUUUAACUAUUAAGACUUGUUCUAUCUAGUUUGGUUAUCUAUCUUUUUUACUGCA